GAUGAACGCUGGCGGCGUGCCUAAUACAUGCAAGUCGAGCGAACGGACGAGAAGCUUGCUUCUCUGAUGUUAGCGGCGGACGGGUGAGUAACACGUGGAUAACCUACCUAUAAGACUGGGAGAACUUCGGGAAACCGGAGCUAAUACCGGAUAAUAUUUUGAACCGCAUGGUUCAAAAGUGAAAGACGGUCUUGCUGUCACUUAUAGAUGGAUCCGCGCUGCAUUAGCUAGUUGGUAAGGUAACGGCUUACCAAGGCAACGAUGCAUAGCCGACCUGAGAGGGUGAUCGGCCACACUGGAACUGAGACACGGUCCAGACUCCUACGGGAGGCAGCAGUAGGGAAUCUUCCGCAAUGGGCGAAAGCCUGACGGAGCAACGCCGCGUGAGUGAUGAAGGUCUUCGGAUCGUAAAACUCUGUUAUUAGGGAAGAACAUAUGUGUAAGUAACUGUGCACGUCUUGACGGUACCUAAUCAGAAAGCCACGGCUAACUACGUG
rnacentral:rRNA from 1 species